rnacentral:sRNA from 1 species
CUUUAUGACAUGUGACCAGCUGCCUCAUGCUCCUGCUGACCUGCUUUUCCUACCACAGUGGGCUCUAUACUGUUGAACUAUAAAGCAAAAUCAACCCUUUCUCCCAAAAACAAACCCACAAAACCCCACUCAGGAUUAUUCUUCCAGUGUUUGAAAAUCCUUACUGAUUGAGCAAAGAAUCCACUCAUGUCAUUGUCCAACAGCUCAAGUUCUGACUCACAGUCUUGUUUCACUUUUGCCUUGUCCAUUUACAUAAACUGUGUUGUCACCAAGGACUCACAUUGAAGCUACGCCCAGGUCCCCUAUGACUAUAGACUGAGUGCAGAGGAAGGAUGCAGCAAAAAUGAACCAGAGCACUGUCAUGACCCCAGCUGUGUAGACUGUCCUAUAUGCACCGCACACCGCUAUCAGGUAUACAUACCCUUUGCAUUUAUAAGAAAGGUUGCUCUCACAUCUGUGAGGCUGAGGUAGGCUGAUAGACACACCUGAGGCUUCCAUCAACCCAUGAUGGAGUCAGAGUCCACUAGUGAAGGAGCUGUUUGACCCGCAAGGAAAAGGUGUGGCUUGGUACAACUCAGUCAGGGCAGGAGACUGUGGGAAAUGUGUCCUCAGAACACAGAAUAAGUUUUCAGUAAGAGGUUUUAGUCAACCAUAUUCCUUAUAUGUAUUAUUUAUUUUUUGAGAUUGUUUUCUAAAGAUUUAAUUAUUCAAUUAUAUUUAUUAUUUUAAGUGUAUGAGUGUUUUGCCUGCAUAUAUGUAUGUAUGUACAUCAUGUGAAGGCCUGGUACCUGGAAAGGUCAGAAAAGAACAUCGGAUCCCCUAUAGCUGGAGUUACGGUUUUAAGCUACUAUGUGGGUGCUUGGAAUUGAACCUGGGGCCUCUUCAAGAGCAAUGAGUGCUCUUAACCACUGAGCCAACUCUCUGGCCCUGAGAAUUUCAAGUGUUGUAUUUUGGUUACAUGCCCUUCCCCUUCCCAGCUCCUCUCAGAUCCAGUCCCCGUCCAUACCUAGCCAACUUUGUGUGCUUCUCUUUGUUCUGUUUAUAAGCUCAUCCAUUCCAAUUACUGCUGGCUAUAGAUUUUUGGGUGUGUGGCCAUUCACUAGCCCGUGUUCAACAGAGACCAAUGUCUUUGAAGAAAAUGGAGUCUCCUUUGCUCAGCAGAUAUCAAUUACCAAUAGUUCCUCAGCUAGGGAUGGGACUUCACGCCUAUCUCUUCCCUCUAUGAGGGCAUCUUGUCUGGCUUGAGCUUGCAUAGGUCUUGUGGGUGCUAUCACAGUUGUGGAAAAUUCAUGUGUGCGACCACCCUGUUGUGUCUGGAAAAUGUGCUUCACUGUAUCUGCUGCCUCUGGCUCUUACAAUCUAUGUACCUCCUCUUACACGAUGACCCCUGAAUCUUGUCUAGAAAAGGGUGUGACACAUAUGCCACUCUGCCACCCGUGAUACUUGAACUAAGUUUUCUUCAAGACAUAUUCCAAUGGCCUUCAUACCAGCACUGAAAAUGAUACUGAGGGGAGCCUGCCCUGUGGAUUUCUGUGGACAGGUUUUCUCCGUGUAGCCCUACCUGUCCUGGAACAAGUUCUGUAGGCAGGCUGGCCUAGAACUCACAGAGAUCUGCCUGCCUCUGCCUCCUGAGUGCUGGGAACAAAAGAUGUGCACCACCACCACCACCACCACCACCACCACCGGGCUGGCACACUCUGAAGGACAGUUCUCUGUGGCCGAGGACAAUUCCUAUUUUAAAGUCAGGUGUACAUAGCCAACUGUGGGUUUCCCCACUGUUUAUCCACCCUCCUGAGAAGGUUUUGCUAAUUUAUAAUAUUAGAUCUACUUCAAAAACUUGUCUUCAUUUUGUCUGAUGCAUCGAAUCAUUUUGUGUGGUGCUUGUUAACAUCCUAUAGUGUUAGUUAGCAUGCAGGAACACUUGCCUGAAGAAGAAGGCAAGAGCCCAUCCUAAGGGGCUGAGUGCUUGCUAAGCACUCUUUCCUUGGGCUGUAGGGUAGAGAAGCUGUUCAGCUGUGAGCACACUUUAGUGAAAACACUUGGGAGAGGGAUGGGGGUUGAUUUGGUGUGGUAGCCAUGGCAUCAGCAAGUCUAUUUAAGAAUCUGUCUUGUCUUCCUCAAGGAUGAUGAUGUGAGCUGGGUACCAGUCGCAGAAGGGAGAUGCAGAUCAGAAGAAUGUGUAAGAGAGGACCAAAACAUCUGAGGCAGAUGAGGAGGUACAGGAAACGCUUGCUACACUGUCACUGGAUGCAUGAGAUACAGGGAGAGCUACAGUCCAGCCAGGAAGAUGACCAAUAACAUGCUCGCCUGGACUUUAGAUUUGGAUUUGGUGGAGAGCUGAUCCCACGUUUUAGAAGCAUUGUCACAACUUCAUCUACCUGAUGGAUUCUUACUGCAUGUGAGUAUCAAGGAAUGGAGAACACUGAGCGGGGAGACUCAGGGGAUCCCUAAAGAAAUCAAAACAAGUCGUCUUUGGAACAAUCUACUUCACUCUAAAUUCCUUUGGAUUCCUGCAAUUGAACUGAGUCUAGCAUAAAGUUAUGGCCAAGUGCAAAGCAGAUGUAAGUGAGAGUCAAGGGGCAGCAAGAAGCAAGAUGAUGCCUAAGAAGUCAGGUGCUGGAGUUCCCAUAAGAAUUUGUAGGAGAUAACAUACAGCAGGAAAUGGCGUUUUCAGAGGGAACCAAUCAUGUUAUGCCCACCACUCUCCUGUGUACCUUCAAUUCACUCUCGACUGUGCUAGAGUCUGGCUUCUAUCAAUACUGUGCUGAGGACAUAUUCAUUGCCAAGAUUAUCAGAGUUCAUCUAGCCAUCCUCACCUACCAGGUCCUCCAAACACUGUCUUUUUUCAUGUACUUGCCUACAAGCACUGCAUCUCAAACAGCCUGUGUAAAACGGAACUCUCAUCUGCAACUCCUACCACUUCCCAUAACUUGUUCCUUCCUGCCUUUCAUCACUUAAGCCUAAAGUUCUUGAGAGAGCUUGACUUCAGGUAGAAUAUAACUUAGUUAACACUUCUUCGAACUCUGAGGGUGUACAAUGAUGAGGUUUUGGGGAGUUUUAGAAAAUACACCUUAAGGGCUGGAGAGAUGGCUCAGCGGCUAAGAGCACCCGACUACUCUUCCAGAGGUC